GCUAGUCUGAGGUGACCCUCCAGCUCUCCAAGAAAGUGUCACCAGAAGGCUGUCAGUGUUCUCAAGAUAUUUGGGAGAAGCUUUCUUUUCCAAGAACUUCCAGAGCAACAAUAAUCAGAUUGUAGACGGUAAUAUACAAGAACCAGAGUGUGACUUCAAGGAACUGAGGG